ACUUUACAAUGCGGGAAACCGUGAUAAGGGGACACCGAGUGCCAGCAUCAUAUGCUGGCUGUCCAGGUGUGUAAAAUACACCUGUUAGCAAGGGCCGGGCAAGACCGGUGCCAGCCGCCGCGGUAACACCGGCGGCCCGAGUGGUGAUCGUGAUUAUUGGGUCUAAAGGGUCCGUAGCCGGUUUGGUCAGUCCUCCGGGAAAUCUGAUAGCUCAACUAUUAGGCUUUCGGGGGAUACUGCCAGACUUGGAACCGGGAGAGGUAAGAGGUACUACAGGGGUAGGAGUGAAAUCUUGUAAUCCCUGUGGGACCACCUGUGGCGAAGGCGUCUUACCAGAACGGGUUCGACGGUGAGGGACGAAAGCUGGGGGCACGAACCGGAUUAGAUACCCGGGUAGUCCCAGCCGUAAACGAUGCUCGCUAGGUGUCAGGCAUGGCGCGACCGUGUCUGGUGCCGCAGGGAAGCCGUGAAGCGAGCCACCUGGGAAGUACGGCCGCAAGGCUGAAACUUAA
rnacentral:rRNA from 1 species